GGAGUUAAGAAAUGUGGUGGGCUUAAUAGGUCCAUCGCUUGACAAAGGCUCCAAAGGAAGCUCUGGCUAACUCCGUGCCAGCAGCCGCGGUAAUACGGAGAGAGCAAGCGUUGUUCGGAAUUACUGGGCAUAAAGAGCACGUAGGCGGGCCUGUAAGUCAGAUGUGAAAGCCCCUGGCUCAACCAGGGAACUGCAUCUGAUACUGCGGGUCUUGAGUGCGCGAGAGGAGAGUG
rnacentral:rRNA from 1 species